rnacentral:rRNA from 1 species
UACGGAGGUGGCAAGCGUUGUUCGGAAUUACUGGGCGUAAAGGGCGCGUAGGCGGCUUGGCAAGUCAGAUGUGAAAGCCCCGGGCUUAACUUGGGAAUUGCAUCUGAAACUGCUUUGCUUGAGUCCUGGAGGGGGUAGUGGAAUUCCCAGUGUAGCGGUGAAAUGCGUAGAUAUUGGGAGGAACACCUGCGGCGAAGGCGGCUACCUGGACAGUGACUGACGCUGAGGCGCGAAAGCUAGGGGAGCAAACGGG